rnacentral:rRNA from 1 species
UGGGGAAUAUUGCACAAUGGGCGCAAGCCUGAUGCAGCCAUGCCGCGUGUAUGAAGAAGGCCUUCGGGUUGUAAAGUACUUUCAGCGGGGAGGAAGGGAGUAAAGUUAAUACCUUUGCUCAUUGACGUUACCCGCAGAAGAAGCACCGGCUAACUCCGUGCCAGCAGCCGCGGUAAUACGGAGGGUGCAAGCGUUAAUCGGAAUUACUGGGCGUAAAGCGCACGCAGGCGGUUUGUUAAGUCAGAUGUGAAAUCCCCGGGCUCAACCUGGGAACUGCAUCUGAUACUGGCAAGCUUGAGUCUCGUAGAGGGGGGUAGAAUUCCAGGGGUAGCGGUGAAAUGCGUAGAGAUCUGGAGGAAGACCGGUGGCGAAGGCGGCCCCCUGGACAAAGACUGACGCUCAGGUGCGAAAGCGUGGGGAGCAAACAGG